GUCAGCUACACAUGCAGUCGAGCGGUAGCACAGAGAGCUUGCUCUCGGGUGACGAGCGGCGGACGGGUGAGUAAUGUCUGGGAAACUGCCUGAUGGAGGGGGAUAACUACUGGAAACGGUAGCUAAUACCGCAUAAUGUCGCAAGACCAAAGUGGGGGACCUUCGGGCCUCAUGCCAUCAGAUGUGCCCAGAUGGGAUUAGCUAGUAGGUGGGGUAACGGCUCACCUAGGCGACGAUCCCUAGCUGGUCUGAGAGGAUGACCAGCCACACUGGAACUGAGACACGGUCCAGACUCCUACGGGAGGCAGCAGUGGGGAAUAUUGCACAAUGGGCGCAAGCCUGAUGCAGCCAUGCCGCGUGUGUGAAGAAGGCCUUCGGGUUGUAAAGCACUUUCAGCGGGGAGGAAGGCGUUAAGGUUAAUAACCUUGUCGAUUGACGUUACCCGCAGAAGAAGCACCGGCUAACUCCGUGCCAGCAGCCGCGGUAAUACGGAGGGUGCAAGCGUUAAUCGGAAUUACUGGGCGUAAAGCGCACGCAGGCGGUCUGUCAAGUCGGAUGUGAAAUCCCCGGGCUCAACCUGGGAACUGCAUUCGAAACUGGCAGGCUAGAGUCUUGUAGAGGGGGGUAGAAUUCCAGGUGUAGCGGUGAAAUGCGUAGAGAUCUGGAGGAAUACCGGUGGCGAAGGCGGCCCCCUGGACAAAGACUGACGCUCAGGUGCGAAAGCGUGGGGAGCAAACAGGAUUAGAUACCCUGGUAGUCCACGCCGUAAACGAUGUCGAUUUGGAGGUUGUGCCCUUGAGGCGUGGCUUCCGGAGCUAACGCGUUAAAUCGACCGCCUGGGGAGUACGGCCGCAAGGUUAAAACUCAAAUGAAUUGACGGGGGCCCGCACAAGCGGUGGAGCAUGUGGUUUAAUUCGAUGCAACGCGAAGAACCUUACCUGGUCUUGACAUCCACAGAACUUUCCAGAGAUGGAUUGGUGCCUUCGGGAACUGUGAGACAGGUGCUGCAUGGCUGUCGUCAGCUCGUGUUGUGAAAUGUUGGGUUAAGUCCCGCAACGAGCGCAACCCUUAUCCUUUGUUGCCAGCGGUCCGGCCGGGAACUCAAAGGAGACUGCCAGUGAUAAACUGGAGGAAGGUGGGGAUGACGUCAAGUCAUCAUGGCCCUUACGACCAGGGCUACACACGUGCUACAAUGGCAUAUACAAAGAGAAGCGACCUCGCGAGAGCAAGCGGACCUCAUAAAGUAUGUCGUAGUCCGGAUUGGAGUCUGCAACUCGACUCCAUGAAGUCGGAAUCGCUAGUAAUCGUAGAUCAGAAUGCUACGGUGAAUACGUUCCCGGGCCUUGUACACACCGCCCGUCACACCAUGGGAGUGGGUUGCAAAAGAAGUAGGUAGCUAACCUCGGAGACGCUUACGCACUUU
rnacentral:rRNA from 1 species